rnacentral:rRNA from 1 species
UGGGGAAUAUUGCACAAUGGGCGAAAGCCUGAUGCAGCAACGCCGCGUGAGGGACGACGGCCUUCGGGUUGUAAACCUCUUUUAGCAAGGAAGAAGCGAAAGUGACGGUACUUGCAGAAAAAGCGCCGGCUAACUACGUGCCAGCAGCCGCGGUAAUACGUAGGGCGCAAGCGUUAUCCGGAAUUAUUGGGCGUAAAGAGCUCGUAGGCGGUUUGUCGCGUCUGCUGUGAAAACCCGAGGCUCAACCUCGGGCCUGCAGUGGGUACGGGCAGACUAGAGUGCGGUAGGGGAGAUUGGAACUCCUGGUGUAGCGGUGGAAUGCGCAGAUAUCAGGAAGAACACCGAUGGCGAAGGCAGAUCUCUGGGCCGUAACUGACGCUGAGGAGCGAAAGGGUGGGGAGCAAAACAGGCUUAGAUACCCUGGUAGUCCACCCCGUAAACGUUGGGAACUAGUUGUGGGGUCCAUUCCACGGAUUCCGUGACGCAGCUAACGCAUUAAGUUCCCCGCCUGGGGAGUACGGCCGCAAGGCUAAAACUC